UGCGCUGCUAAAGUACGCUGGAAAGUGCAAAAGAAAGUAGUUCAGCACUAAGUUACUUUGUCUUUAAUGGCAAACGCGAGAUGCAGUGCAGGGAAUGUUUAAUUCUAGUAUGAGAAAUUAGCGAUUUAAGUCCUUCUUAAAUGAGACCAUUUACCCAAAGAGGGUGCUAGGCCCGUAUAGCGUUAAUGAUUACUAGAGACAAAGAGUCGUGUUGCUUGAUAGUGCAGCACUAAGUGGGUGGUAAACUCCAUCUAAAACUAAAUAUAACCAUGAGACCGAUAGUAAACAAGUACCGUGAGGGAAAGUUGAAGAGAACUCUGAACAGAGAGUUAAAUAGUACGUGAAACUGCUUAGAGAUUAAGCCCGAUGAACCCGAAUAUCCAUUAUGGAAUUCAUCAUUAUGAAUUAUGAUAAUUAAUAAAUAUUAUAUUAAUGGUGGGCGUUCUAUACAGUUAUAUAUAAUAAUAUUUAUAUUAUUUAUACCUCUAACUAGAACGUACUUUCACUGUUUGCUGUAACCCGAAAGAUGGUGAACUAUACUUGAAGCCAGGGGAAAUCCUGAUGGGAGACCGAAACAAAGCGAUUAUCAGAAUUGAGUAUAGGGGCGAAAGACCAAUCGAACCAUCUAAUAGCUGGUUCCCUCCGAAAUUUCCCUCAGGAUAGCUGGUACAUUCAAAAUUUAUGUAAACUAAUCUUAUCUGGUAAAGCGAAUGAUUAGAGGCCUUAGGGUCGAAACGAUCUUAACCUAUUGUAAACUUUAAAUGGGUAAGAACAUGACCUUUCUUGGUAUGAAGGCUGUGCUUGUGUGUGCCCAGUGGGCCACUUUUGGUAAGCAGAAAUGGCGCUGUGGGUCGUCCCAAACGUAAUGUUACGGUGCGCAAAUUAACAGUUCAUGCAGAUACCAUGAAAGGCGUUGGUUGCUUAAAACAGCAGGACGGUGGAAAUGGAAGUCGCAAUCCGUUAAGCAGUGUGUAACAACUUACCUGCCGAAGCAACUAGCCUUUAACGGCGCUUACACCGAUACAUUACCGCUAAAAUAAAUGGUUGAAAUUCAAUUUAUUUAAGUUUGUAAAUUUUAAAAUUUUAGUGAGUAGAAAGGUCCCAUGGUGAGUGAAAAGGUGUUUGACGUAAGUCUGCAUGGAGCCGCCAUUGGUACAGAUCUUAGUGCGAACAGUGGUUGAUCACGAGUUAGUCGGUCCUAAGUUCAAUGUGAAAGCUGAAAAUUUUCAAGCUAUAUAUCAAAAAUGUAUAUUUAUAUAUAUGAAUAAUGUAUAAAACACUUGAAAAUAAUUGAACGAAUAGGAAUAUGGUGCCAAUUCCGUAACCUGUUGAGUAUCCGUUUAUUUAUUGAAGGUGGGCCUUGUGCUCAUCCUGGAAACAGAAACGACCAUAAAGAAGCCGUCGAAAGAUAUCGGAGGAGAUUUAUUUUGCUAUGGUAGAUGGGCUAGAAGAGCAUGACAUUUACUGUUGUGUCGAUAUUUUCUCCUCGGACCUUGAAAAUUUAUAGUGAGGUCACGCAAACUUCUCAACAGACCGUACCAAUAUAAGCAGCUGGUCUCCAAGGUGAAGAGUCCCUAGUC
rnacentral:ncRNA from 1 species